rnacentral:rRNA from 1 species
GAUGAACGCUGGCGGCGUGCCUAAUACAUGCAAGUCGAGCGAACGGACGAGAAGCUUGCUUCUCUGAUGUUAGCGGCGGACGGGUGAGUAACACGUGGAUAACCUACCUCUAAGACUGGGAUAACUUCGGGAAACCGGAGCUAAUACCGGAUAAUAUUUUGAACCGCAUGGUUCAAAAGUGAAAGACGGUCCUGCUGUCACUUAUAGAUGGAUCCGCGCUGCAUUAGCUAGUUGGUAAGGUAACGGCUUACCAAGGCAACGAUGCAUAGCCGACCUGAGAGGGUGAUCGGCCACACUGGAACUGAGACACGGUCCAGACUCCUACGGGAGGCAGCAGUAGGGAAUCUUCCGCAAUGGGCGAAAGCCUGACGGAGCAACGCCGCGUGAGUGAUGAAGGUCUUCGGAUCGUAAAACUCUGUUAUUAGGGAAGAACAUAUGUGUAAGUAACUGUGCACAUCUUGACGGUACCUAAUCAGAAAGCCACGGCUAACUACGUG